UACGUAGGGGGCAAGCGUUGUCCGGAUUUAUUGGGCGUAAAGAGCGUGUAGGCGGCUAGAUAGGUCCGUUGUGAAAACUGGAGGCUCAACCUUCAGACGUCGACGGAAACCGUAUGGCUAGAGUCCGGAAGAGGAGAGUGGAAUUCCUGGUGUAGCGGUGAAAUGCGCAGAUAUCAGGAAGAACACCAAUGGCGAAGGCAGCUCUCUGGGACGGUACUGACGCUGAGACGCGAAAGCGUGGGGAGCGAACAGG
rnacentral:rRNA from 1 species